rnacentral:rRNA from 1 species
ACAAACCGGAGGAAGGUGGGGAUGACGUCAAAUCAUCAUGCCCCUUAUGACCUGGGCUACACACGUGCUACAAUGGGCAGAACAAAGGGCAGCGAAACCGCGAGGUUAAGCCAAUCCCACAAAUCUGUUCUCAGUUCGGAUCGCAGUCUGCAACUCGACUGCGUGAAGCUGGAAUCGCUAGUAAUCGCGGAUCCCAGCAGCCGCGGUAAUACGUUCCCGGGCCUUGUACACACCGCCCGUCACACCACGAGAGUUUGUAACACCCGAAGUCGGUGAGGUAACCUUU